GACAGAGGUCCCGAGCGUUAGGCGGAAUCACUGGGCUUAAAGCGUGUGUAGGCGGAUUGGUAAGUACCUUGUGAAAUCCCACGGCUCAACCGUGGAACUGCUUGGUAUACUGCUUAUCUUGGGCCACUUAGGGGCUACCGGAACAAACGGUGGAGCGGUGAAAUGCGUAGAUAUCGUUUGGAACGCCAAUGGUGAAAAAACAGGUAGCUGGGAGUGUGCCGACGCUGAGACACGAAAGCCAGGGGAGCGAACGGG
rnacentral:rRNA from 1 species